AACGAACGCUGGCGGCAGGCUUAACACAUGCAAGUCGAGCGCCCCGCAAGGGGAGCGGCAGACGGGUGAGUAACGCGUGGGAAUCUACCCAUCUCUACGGAAUAACGCAUGGAAACGUGUGCUAAUACCGUAUACGUCCUUCGGGAGAAAGAUUUAUCGGAGAUGGAUGAGCCCGCGUUGGAUUAGCUAGUUGGUGGGGUAAAGGCCUACCAAGGCGACGAUCCAUAGCUGGUCUGAGAGGAUGAUCAGCCACACUGGGACUGAGACACGGCCCAGACUCCUACGGGAGGCAGCUGUGGGGAAUAUUGGACAAUGGGCGCAAGCCUGAUCCAGCCAUGCCGCGUGAGUGAUGAAGGCCCUAGGGUUGUAAAGCUCUUUCACCGGUGAAGAUAAUGACGGUAACCGGAGAAGAAGCCCCGGCUAACUCCGUGCCAGCAGCCGCCGUAAAAC
rnacentral:rRNA from 1 species